UAGACAAUUUUGCCAAAAUCAGAAACAUUCGUCCGCUGGGCCAUUUCUCUAGAUUCCCGUAAAAUCCAAAUAAAUCUAAAUGAAAUGGAUAGAAAUAGAUUAAUUUUAACAUGCUGAAAAAUUGCCAAGGAGCAGGAAAGAGGGAGGGAGAGAGCUUUUUUUCAUGACUUCCCCAAGAACUACUCUCUGAAAUUUGUCUGUUUAGUGUGCCCCCCCAAAGUAAAAUGGGAUUUUUGUCCCUGGUUUGGCAGUAACAUAAUCUGUCCUGGAACACGUUGAAGGACCACAUACUUACAUGACUUGACUCCUUCAAGCAGCAAGCUACCCGGACAACUCUAGGUUAAAAACAAAAUAAAAAUUUUAACUUCUAAAAACUAUUGCUAAAAUCAACCAAUUUAAGACAGUUAUACAGCUAUCUGGAAUACAGUAAUGACUUCAAUUCAAGUUGUACUUGCUUCUAUGAUCCUCAGUGGAAAAAAUAGAGCUCUCUCGUGCAGCUGAAAUUAGGACGCUGAGUGAUAGCUUUGAUAUGUAGUUUACAGCGGUGGCUGGCCCAUAGGGGGCAAUGGGGCACCGCCCUCCCUGAUCAAAGACUGGGAAAUGUACUUAACAAGCGAAGUGCAGGUUCCACUGAAUUCUGUGAGAUCGUUAUUUAUCUACCCGUUCGUAAGGACAGUGGAGUAAGGAGCUGGGACCCCACAAGCCUGACAUUAUCAUCAACCUGCAGAUCAAGGGGAAAAAUAAAGUCUACAACCGGAGUUUUUCGAAGAGUUGGUUUGAGUGCAAGUCGUGGCUGACCGGUGUGGAAUAGCCAAGGCACUCCACGAUGCAAUAUUUUCCCUGCAUUCUUUUUAAAAGUGUCAAAUAUGAUUUAGCGUGGACACAGUCAGGACAAACCGGCUUGAAGCGUCUCUCUGAACGCAUUAUGAAGCAUGAACAAUCAAGAGUUCAUAUGGAAAACUGUCAAGCUAGCUGUGCUCAGAAAGAUUAGCAUAACGGCACAGCUGGAUGACGGACAUUGUGUUGAGAUGACGUGGUCCUGCUGGUCCCCUCUAGCCAAGACCUACAGCAUGCGCUGGGGCGGUUCGCAGCUGUGUGUGAAGUGGCUGGGAUGAAAAUCAGCUCCUCCAAGUCCGAGGCCAUGGUUCCCGACCGGAAAUGGGUGGCUUGUUCUUUUCAGGUUGGAGGGAAGUUCCUGCCUCAAGUGGAGGAGUUCAAGUAUCUUGGGGUCUUGUUCACGAGUGGGGGAAGAAUGGAGCAGGAGAUCAACAGACGGAUCGGUGUGGCUGCCAUCCAUUCUGCUGUGCAUUGUGUACUGGUUGUAUGAACACCUAGCAACUGUUGUACUUUGUUAGCAUUUAAAGCAAAUUUGGCCUCAUUCCAAUUCCCUCAAAACAAACCUUGGUUCUUAAACACUAUAUAUUCACACUAUUGCUUAUUGGUGUUCUAGUUUUAUUCCUUUUCGUUCUUUUUUACAGUUUUAUCCAUAAUUUAUUAGUUUUCCUUAUUCUUUUCAUUUUGCUUAGUAUUUUAGUUGAAUUUUACUAACUUAGUUAAACAAAGUUAAAAAGUAUUUUACCUAGAAACUGAAUGUUUUGUUAAUAAAUUCUUGUAUUGUGGA